rnacentral:rRNA from 1 species
AUUGAACGCUGGCGGCAGGCCUAACACAUGCAAGUCGAGCGGUAGAGAGAAGCUUGCUCCAUGAUUCAGCGGCGGACGGGUGAGUAAUGCCUAGGAAUCUGCCUGGUAGUGGGGGACAACGUUUCGAAAGGAACGCUAAUACCGCAUACGUCCUACGGGAGAAAGUGGGGGAUCUUCGGACCUCACGCUAUCAGAUGCGCCUAGGUCGGAUGAGCUAGUUGGUGAGGUGAAGGCUCACCAAGGCGACGAUCCGUAACUGGUCUGAGAGGAUGAUCAGUCACACUGGAACUGAGACACGGUCCAGACUCCUACGGGAGGCAGCAGUGGGGAAUAUUGGACAAUGGGCGAAAGCCUGAUCCAGCCAUGCCGCGUGUGUGAAGAAGGUCUUCGGAUUGUAAAGCACUUUAAGUUGGGAGGAAGGGCAGUAAGUUAAUACCUUGCUGUUUUGACGUUACCAACAGAAUAAGCACCGGCUACUUCGUGCCAGCCGCCGCAGUAACAC